rnacentral:tRNA from 2 species
GUGCCCUGGUGGUGGAAUUGGUAGACACAAGGGAUUUAAAAUCCCUCGGCGUUCGCGCUGUGCCGGUUCAAGUCCGGCCCGCACAGCA